CCUACGGGAGGCUGCAGUAGGGAAUAUUGCGCAAUGGGGGAAACCCUGACGCAGCAACGCCGCGUGAGUGAUGAAGGCUUUCGGGUUGUAAGCUCUGUUGUACGGGGAAAACGUUGCUAUGGCUAAUAUCCAUAGCAAGUGAUUGUACCGUAUAAGAAAGGACCGGCUAACUUCGUGCCAGCAGCCGCGGUAAGACGGGGGGUCCUAACGUUGUUCGGAAUUAUUGGGGGUAAUGCGUGUGCAUGUUGGUGAAAUCCUUGGGCUUAACCCAAGACGUGCAUUCAAAACUGCCAAACUUGAGUAUGGAAGAGGAUCGUGGAAUUCCUAGUGUAGUGGUGAAAUACGUAGAUAUUAGGAGGAACACCGGAGGCGAAGGCGGCGAUCUGGUCCAAUACUGACACUCAAACACGAAAGCGUGGGGAUCAAACAGGAUUAGAUACCCGUGUAGUC
rnacentral:rRNA from 1 species